GGCCAGACUCCUACGGGAGGCAGCAGUGGGGAAUAUUGCACAAUGGGGGAAACCCUGAUGCAGCGACGCCGCGUGAGUGAAGAAGUAUUUCGGUAUGUAAAGCUCUAUCAGCAGGGAAGAAAAACCGACCAUAGGGUCGCUAGACGGUACCUGAUUAAGAAGCCCCGGCUAACUACGUGCCAGCAGCCGCGGUAAUACGUAGGGGGCAAGCGUUAUCCGGAUGUACUGGGUGUAAAGGGGGCGCAGACGGCGAUGCAAGGCAGGAGGGAAAGGCCGGGGCCCAGCCCCGGGACUGCUCUUGGAACUGCGUGGCUGGAGUGCAGGAGGGGCAGGCGGAAUUCCUGGUGUAGCGGUGAAAUGCGUAGAUAUCAGGAGGAACACCGGUGGCGAAGGCGGCCUGCUGGACUGCAACUGACGUUGAGGCCCGAAAGCGUGGGGAGCAAACAGGAUUAGAUACCCCGGUAAAC
rnacentral:rRNA from 1 species